rnacentral:lncRNA from 1 species
AAUUCACUUACUCUCUCUCUCUCUCUCUCUCUCUCUCUCUCUCUCUCUCUCUCUCUCUCUCUAAAUCUUAUAUGUUUCCUUCUUCUUCUUCCUAUGCGGCAUCUCUGUUCUCUUUCUGCAUAUUGCUUAACAGAAACCCCUUAUCAGUUUUUGGCUUCAUGUCUCUUCCCUCUAUCCCUCCCUUUCCUUCGGUCGUGCCUUUCUAAACCCACACCUCUCCCCCACCCUUUUCUUAUACCUCUCUUCCUCAUAAUCCAUCCCCCACCCCAUCAUUUGCUCUGAUCUGUAGGCUCCAACCCGAAAAUAGAUGCUAGAUUCAUUUCCCUCCCUCAUUUCCACUCCCUUGACCGGCAUGCCAAAAUUCCCUCGAGGCCAAGUGUUAUGCGGGUUCGGCCAAAGUAAGAGUAUUUUAUAUAUGUUUACAAGGGUUGGUGAAAGAAUUUUGGAUCCAAUGACUAUCUCUUGGUUCAACGUUUUUGGUGAUAAAAUCUAGUUGUGUGUUUUUGGUUGCGGGUUUGUAAUUUUUGCGAUGCGAUGUCUUGGUUGAAUUGACCCACUUGUCGUUUUCUCUAGUGUUGGUGCCCUUAGUGGUUGUUGGCAAGACAUUUGUGGCGAUGGUGGUGGCGGUCAAUGCUUUCUACGCUUGGAGGAUUGAGAUUAUGGUUUUGUUUGUUUGCUUAUUAGUUUGAGCUUUUGU